rnacentral:rRNA from 1 species
GACGAACGCUGGCGGCGUGCCUAAUACAUGCAAGUUGAGCGCUGAAGGUUGGUACUUGUACCAACUGGAUGAGCAGCGAACGGGUGAGUAACGCGUGGGGAAUCUGCCUUUGAGCGGGGGACAACAUUUGGAAGCGAAUGCUAAUACCGCAUAAAAACUUUAAACACAAGUUUUAAGUUUGAAAGAUGCAAUUGCAUCACUCAAAGAUGAUCCCGCGUUGUAUUAGCUAGUUGGUGAGGUAAAGGCUCACCAAGGCGAUGAUACAUAGCCGACCUGAGAGGGUGAUCGGCAACAUUGGGACUGAGAAACGGCCCAAACUCCUACGGGAGGCAGCAGUAGGGAAUCUUCGGCAAUGGACGAAAGUCUGACCGAGCAACGCCGCGUGAGUGAAGAAGGUUUUCGGAUCGUAAAACUCUGUUGGUAGAGAAGAACGUUGGUGAGAGUGGGAAGCUCAUCAAGUGACGGUAACUACACAGAAAGGGACGGCUAACUACG